rnacentral:rRNA from 1 species
AUGGCGGCGCUGGUGGAGACGAGCAUGGGGGUGGUGCGGGAGGUGCUGGGCGACUCGGUGGUGGACGAGGUGGACGAGCCCAUCGUCUCCUACAUCGCCAACGUCCUCGCCGACCAGGACUUCGACUUCGGCCCCCCCGACGGCCACGGCAUCUUCGACGCCCUCGGCGACCUCCUCAUCGACGCCCGCUGCGUCUACGACCGCGAGCACUGCCUCGAGGUCUGCACCAAGCUCUGUGAGAAGUUGGGGAGCCAUGGCAUCGUCAAACCUAAGGCAGCCGUGCGGAGCCUCGCCACGCCUCUGCGCAUGAACGCGGGGAUGGAGGAGCAGGUCGCUCCCAAGAAGCCAGAGAAUAUCUUCGACGCGCCCUUGCUGUCCUCGCGAGACAAGGCCAAGCUCGAGCGGAACAAGAGAAAAGAAGACAGGCAAAGAGAGGCCCAGUACCAAAUGCAUGUUGCCGAAAUGGAGGCGCUCAGGGCUGGAAUGCCUCCGGUUUAUGUAAAUCACAGUAAUGUGGGUGGCACAACCAUUAGGGAUAUCCAUAUGGAGAAUUUCAGUGUUACCGUUGGAGGUCGUGAUCUUAUUCAAGAUGUCACCUUAACGCUCGCUUUUGGAAGGCACUAUGGUCUUGUUGGAAGAAAUGGUACUGGAAAGACUUCUCUUCUCAGAGCUAUGGCUCAACAUGCAAUCGACGGAAUUCCUAAGAACUGCCAAAUAUUGCACGUUGAACAAGAGGUCACGGGUGAUGACACAACAGCUUUGCAGUGUGUGCUGAAUGCUGAUGUUGAACGGGUCCAGCUUAUGCAAGAAGAGGCCCAGCUGGGUCAAUUACUGAAAGAUCUGGAGUAUGAUGCAGAGUCCAAACAGAGCCUAGACAAGAGCAAGGGUGAUGUUGACAAAGAUUCUAUCAGCAAGAGGCUUGAGGAGAUAUACAAGAGACUUGAAUUCAUUGAUGCAGAUGCAGCAGAAGCUCGUGCAGCAUCAAUUCUGGCGGGUCUCAGUUUCACUCCAGAAAUGCAAUGCAAAAAUACAAAAUCAUUUUCGGGAGGAUGGCGGAUGAGAAUAGCACUAGCACGUGCUCUAUUCAUUGAGCCAGAUUUACUGCUACUUGAUGAGCCAACAAAUCAUCUUGAUCUGCAUGCUGUGUUAUGGUUAGAAACAUAUCUCCUGAAGUGGCCAAAGACAUUCAUUGUUGUGUCCCACGCUAGAGAGUUUCUGAAUACGGUUGUCACCGACGUUCUUCACCUACAUGGUAAGAAGCUACAUGCUUACAAAGGUGACUAUGACACAUUUGAGAGGACAAGGGAGGAGCACCUCAAGAAUCAGAUGAAAGCCUUCGAAACAAAUGAGAAGGCCAGAGGACACAUGCAGGCAUUCAUUGACAAGUUCAGAUACAAUGCAAAGAGAGCAUCACUUGUUCAAUCAAGAAUCAAGGCAUUGGAGCGAAUGGAACAUGUUGACGCUGUUGUUAGUGACCCAGACUAUAAAUUCGAAUUUCCAACUCCAGAUGACCGUCCUGGACCACCAAUCAUUAGCUUCAGUGAUGCGUCAUUUGGUUAUCCUGGAGGGCCUAUUUUGUUUAAAAACUUGAAUUUUGGUAUCGACCUCGACAGUCGCAUAGCAAUGGUUGGUUCAAACGGUAUCGGGAAGUCCACUAUACUGAAAUUAAUAUCUGGAGACCUGCAGCCAACUUCGGGAACAGUGUUUCGCUCCCCCAAGGUCCGCAUGGCUGUAUUCAGUCAGCAUCAUGUUGAUGGACUUGAUUUGACGGUGAACCCGCUUUUGUACAUGAUGAGAUGCUUCCCGGGUGUACCUGAACAGAAACUGAGGUCACAUUUGGGUUCCUUCGGUGUUACAGGAAAUCUUGCCCUCCAAUCUAUGUACACUUUAUCAGGUGGUCAGAAGAGUAGGGUCGCGUUCGCGAAGAUCACCUUCAAGAAGCCGCACAUUAUCCUUCUUGAUGAGCCUUCUAACCAUCUUGAUCUCGACGCAGUGGAGGCGCUCAUCCAGGGUCUGCUCAUAUUCCAGGGAGGAGUGCUGAUGGUGAGUCACGACGAGCAUCUGAUCACGGGGAGUGUGGAUGAGCUCUGGGCGGUGACCGAUGGCAAGGUCGCCCCGUUCCCGGGCACGUUCAAGGAGUACAAGAAGAUGCUCACGACAUAA